rnacentral:rRNA from 1 species
UACGAAGGGGGCUAGCGUUGUUCGGAAUCACUGGGCGUAAAGGCGCGUAGGCGGCCGAUCAAGUCGGGGGUGAAAGCCUGUGGCUCAACCACAGAAUUGCCUUCGAUACUGUUUGGCUUGAGACCGGAAGAGGUUAGUGGAACUGCGAGUGUAGAGGUGAAAUUCGUAGAUAUUCGCAAGAACACCAGUGGCGAAGGCGGCUGACUGGUCCGGUUCUGACGCUGAGGCGCGAAAGCCAGGGGAGCGAACGGG